GCCGGAGAGCGUCUCCGUGGAGCAGCCGGAGAGCCUCACUGCGGAGCAGCUGGAGAGACAAACCACGGAGCAGCCGGAGAGCCUCACCAAGCAGUCUGAACCCGUAUUUGUUCUGAAUCUUGUUCCUGUGUCUUCCUCACUCUCUCCAACCUUUCUCUCUCCUCCUUCCUCUGCUACUCCUACAACUGUUCUUCCUUCACUUUCUUCCCCUCCUCCACCUCCACUGCGGCAGAGGAAAAGAAGGUUAAACACCUUUACCGCGUCACACUCUACCACCCCUGUCUCUACUCCAUAUCCAUCUCCCUCUUCCAUUUCCAAGCCUUUGAGUCAGGAGGUGCCACUGGUAAAGAACAGAAGAAAAGGUUGUCGAAAAUGUAGUAGGCAGAAGGUUUUCCUUUUUGAUAAAAUAACUGGGGAACGGAUAAAUGAGGGGAAAGCUGAAUUGAAAGUUCACUGGUUGCCUUGCACUGUGUGUGGCAAAACCUGGGAUGACACAUGGGAGCCUGCGAGUGAAUUCCAAAACAUUGUGCCAAAGUCCCCACAUCCCAACCAGCUUUCAGCAUGACAACAUCACCAUAAACACCUGGACUCAUCAAUCACCCUUCAAUGCAGUUUAUUUUU